rnacentral:rRNA from 1 species
GCAAGUCGAGCGCUCACUUCGGUGGGAGCGGCAGACGGGUGAGUAACGCGUGGGAAUCUACCUAGCUCUACGGAAUAACAGUUGGAAACGACUGCUAAUACCGUAUACGCCCUCCGGGGGAAAGAUUUAUUGGAGUUAGAUGAGCCCGCGUUAGAUUAGCUAGUUGGUGGGGUAAUGGCCUACCAAGGCGACGAUCUAUAGCUGGUCUGAGAGGAUGAUC